rnacentral:tRNA from 1 species
GCCGAAGUGGCGAAAACAGGUAAACGCAGUUGAUUCAAAAUCAACCGUACGUGAGUACAUGUCGGUUCAAUUCCGACCUUCGGCA